rnacentral:rRNA from 1 species
AUUGAACGCUGGCGGCAUGCCUUACACAUGCAAGUCGAACGGCAGCACGGGAGCAAUCCUGGUGGCGAGUGGCGAACGGGUGAGUAAUAUAUCGGAACGUGCCCAGUCGUGGGGAUAACGUAGCGAAAGCUACGCUAAUACCGCAUACGAUCUAUGGAUGAAAGCGGGGGAUCGCAAGACCUCGCGCGAUUGGAGCGGCCGAUAUCAGAUUAGGUAGUUGGUGAGGUAAAGGCUCACCAAGCCGACGAUCUGUAGCUGGUCUGAGAGGACGACCAGCCACACUGGGACUGAGACACGGCCCAGACUCCUACGGAGGCAGCAGUGGGGAAUUUUUGGGACAAUGGGCGCAAGCCUGAUCCAGCAAUGCCGCGUGCAGGAUGAAGGCCUU